rnacentral:rRNA from 1 species
GACAGAGGGUGCAAACGUUGCUCGGAAUCAUUGGGCGUAAAGCGCGCGUAGGCGGGUUGGUAAGUCCGCUGUGAAAGCCCGGAGCUCAACUCCGGAGGGUCGGUGGAUACUGCCAGUCUUGAAGGUGCUAGGGGGAGAUGGAAUUACCGGUGUAGCGGUGAAAUUCGUAGAUAUUGGGAAGAACACCGGUGGCGAAGGCGGCGACCUGGUCCUUGACUGACGCUGAGGCGCGAAAGCGUGGGGAGCAAACAGG